CACCCUCCUAGUGAAAUAGUGUUUCCUAGUAGCCAACCUAGACCUCCCCCACUGCAACUUGAGACCAUUGCUUCUUGUUCUGUCAUCUGCCACCACUGAAAACAACCUAGCUCCAUCCUCUUCGCACUGGACCAAAAAAUAGCUGCAAACUGUCUACAAGGUCAGUUCAACUAUCCAACACGGCUUAUAUAAGACCAAAAAAAACCACUUUAAAACUGUGCAAUUGUUUCCACAGUGCAUGUACAAGUGAAAUUCUUAAGGAUGUAAUUUUGCUUCACUUACCAGAAAAGCCAGUGUAUAAAACCAAAGAGGCAUUUCUUCAUGAAUACUGAACAUUAUUUAGAAUCUGUAUAAGGCUGGUUUGUUGAGGACACUUAUGUUACAUGAUUUGCAAACUUCACUCCACUUCUCCUGCAAGGGCUGGUGCCACAAGUGUCUGUUUCAUAUGAAAGUCUGAUACCUUCUGGUUUAUAUUUAACAUUAAACUUUGUAGACGUUGUAUAUUUAAACUCUUCAAUGUCCCAGCUAUUUCAGAUUUUUUAGCUAUAUGUCACAUAAGCAAACACACUGUUUCCUAAUGAAGCUUAAAAGAAAUCCUGCCUAAAGAGUACUUGUAAGAUGGAUGAAGAGUAUCCUAUAAAUACUAGUUAAAAUAUUUUUUUCCCUAUAAAUGGUGAUUGUGCAGGAGUGGCAGCGUUUAGGUGGGGGAAAAGGUCAGUGUCCAGGCUUAAAACAGUUAUAAAAGUUGUAUUCAUAAGAAAAUGUUCUUCUCAUUAAAACUAAAAGCUUUCCAGAGUUUUGUAUUCUGGGAUAUUUCUAAAAUAUUUCUGAUUAAAUCAGUGCUUUAUGUUAAAGAUGCCCCAGCGUGGAAUGAAAACAGCCCUUGAAGAUUUUCUGAGGGAAAGGGGUGAGGUCAGAGGAAAAGACGGACAUCUCAGCAAUCACACCUUAGGGAAUCUCUUCAGGUAGUGGGAAGGGCUGGGUCACCUAAAGUUGAACAUUCAAUUUGUAUAUAAGGAGUCCCAUGGAAGUCAGUGGGCAGCUUGUAUGUGUAAAGUAAAUUCCCACUUCCUGGGGG